rnacentral:rRNA from 1 species
AUACGGAGGGUGCAAGCGUUAAUCGGAAUUACUGGGCGUAAAGCGCACGCAGGCGGUCUGUUAAGUCAGAUGUGAAAUCCCCGGGCUUAACCUGGGAACUGCAUUUGAAACUGGCAGGCUUGAGUCUCGUAGAGGGGGGUAGAAUUCCAGGUGUAGCGGUGAAAUGCGUAGAGAUCUGGAGGAAUACCGGUGGCGAAGGCGGCCCCCUGGACGAAGACUGACGCUCAGGUGCGAAAGCGUGGGGAGCAAACAGGAUUAGAUACCCUGGUAGUCCACGCCGUAAACGAUGUCGACUUGGAGGUUGUGCCCUUGAGGCGUGGCUUCCGGAGCUAACGCGUUAAGUCGACCGCCUGGGGAGUACGGCCGCAAGGUUAAAACUCAAAUGAAUUGACGGGGGCCCGCACAAGCGGUGGAGCAUGUGGUUUAAUUCGAUGCAACGCGAAGAACCUUACCUGGCCUUGACAUCCAGAGAACUUAGCAGAGAUGCUUUGGUGCCUUCGGGAACUCUGAGACAGGUGCUGCAUGGCUGUCGUCAGCUCGUGUUGUGAAAUGUUGGGUUAAGUCCCGCAACGAGCGCAACCCUUAUCCUUUGUUGCCAGCGGUUCGGCCGGGAACUCAAAGGAGACUGCCGGUGAUAAACCGGAGGAAGGUGGGGAUGACGUCAAGUCAUCAUGGCCUUACGGCCAGGGCUACACACGUGCUACAAUGGCGCAUACAAAGAGAAGCGACCUCGCGAGAGCAAGCGGACCUCAUAAAGUGCGUCGUAGUCCGGAUUGGAGUCUGCAACUCGACUCCAUGAAGUCGGAAUCGCUAGUAAUCGUAGAUCAGAAUGCUACGGUGAAUACGUUCCCGGGCCUUGUACACACCGCCCGUCACACCAUGGGAGUGGGUUGCAAAAGAAGUAGGUAGCUUAACCUUCGGGAGGGCGCUAC